AGAAUCAACGCUGGCGGCGUGCCUAACACAUGCAAGUCGCACGAGAAAGGGGAGCAAUCCCUGAGUACAGUGGCGCACGGGUGAGUAACACGUGAAUGAUCUACCUCCGAGUGGGGAAUAACUGAGAGAAAUCUUAGCUAAUACCGCAUAAUACCCACGGGUCAAAGCAGCAAUGCGCUUGGAGAGGAGUUCGCGGCAGAUUAGUUAGUUGGCGGGGUAAUGGCCCACCAAGACGAUGAUCUGUAUCCGGCCUGAGAGGGCGCACGGACACACUGGAACUGAAACACGGUCCAGACUCCUACGGGAGGCAGCAGUGGGGAAUUUGCGCAAUGGGGAAACCCUGACGCAGCAACGCCGCGUGGAGGAUGAAGCCCUUGGGGUGUAAACUCCUUUCGAUCGGGAAGAUAAUGACGGUACGAUAUAAGAGCCCGGCUAACUUCGCGCCAGCAGCCGC
rnacentral:rRNA from 1 species